rnacentral:rRNA from 1 species
GAACGGGUGAGUAAUAUAUCGGAACGUGCCCAGUCGUGGGGGAUAACGUAGCGAAAGUUACGCUAAAUACCGGCAUACGAUCCACGGAUGAAANCGGGGGAUCGCAAGACCUCGCGCGAUUGGAGCGGCCGAUAUCAGAUUAGGUAGUUGGUGGGGUAAAGGCUCACCAAGCCAACGAUCUGUAGCUGGUCUGAGACGGACGACCAGCCACACUGGAACUGAGACACGGUCCAGACUCCUACGGGAGGCAGCAGUGGGGAAUUUUGGACAAUGGACGCAAGUCUGAUCCAGCCAUUCCGCGUGCAGGAUGAAGGCCCUCGGGUUGUAAACUGCUUUUGUACGGAACGAAAAGGUUUCUAUUAAUACUAGGAGCUCAUGACGGUACCGUAAGAAUAAGCACCGGCUAACUACGUG